CAAAAGCUUGGUCCCGACUUUAAUAUCAGCUUCAGCCCAACUUAUACAUGCAAGUAUCCGCACCCCUGUGAGAAUGCCCUCAAUCCCCCGCCCGGGGACGAGGGGCUGGCAUCAGGCACGGACCCCCGCUAGCCCAAGACGCCUUGCUACGCCACACCCCCAAGGGAACUCAGCAGUAAUAAACAUUAAGCUAUAAGUGAAAACUCGACUUAAUUAAGGCUAUUUAGGGUUGGUAAAACUCGUGCCAGCCACCGCGGUUAUACGAGAAACCCAAGUUGAUACACACGGCGUAAAGAGUGGUUUGAGGUAACAAAUAAAUAAAGCCGAAUAUUAUCAAAGUCGUUAUACACAAUUUUGAAUACAUGAAGCCCCACCACGAAAGUAGCUUUACUUUUCCUCGACCCCACGAAAGCUAGGAAACAAACUGGGAUUAGAUACCCCACUAUGCUUAGCCUUAAACCUAGAUGUUUAUAAUACAAGAAACAUCCGCCAGGGUACUACGAGCGCCAGCUUAAAACCCAAAGGACUUGACGGUGUCUCAGACCCACCUAGAGGAGCCUGUUCUAGAACCGAUAAUCCACGUUUAACCUCACCACCUCUUGUUUUCCCCGCCUAUAUACCGCCGUCGCAAGCUUACCCUGUGAAGGACUAACAGUAAGCAAAAUGGGUAUUACCCAAAACGUCAGGUCGAGGUGUAGCUCACGAGAUGGGAAGAAAUGGGCUACAUUCUCUAUAACAGAGUACACGAAUAGCACUAUGAAAUUAGUGCUUGAAGGUGGAUUUAGUAGUAAAAAUUAACCAGAGAGUCAUUUUGAAUUAGGCUCUGAGACGCGCACACACCGCCCGUCACCCUCCCCAACUAUAAACCUAACUUAAGUAAUUAACCAAAAAAUUAACUAAGCGGGGAGAUAAGUCGUAACAUGGUAAGUGUACCGGAAGGUGUACU
rnacentral:ncRNA from 1 species